rnacentral:rRNA from 1 species
AUUGAACGCUGGCGGCAGGCUUAACACAUGCAAGUCGAGCGAGCGGCGGACGGGUGAGUAAUGUCUGGGAAACUGCCUGAUGGAGGGGGAUAACUACUGGAAACGGUAGCUAAUACCGCAUACCAUCAGAUGUGCCCAGAUGGGAUUAGCUAGUAGGUGGGGUAAUGGCUCACCUAGGCGACGAUCCAUAGCUGGUCUGAGAGGAUGACCGGCAACACUUGAACUGAGACAAGGUCCGGAAUCCUACGGGAGGCAGAAGAGGGGAAUAUUGCACAAUGGCCGCAAGCCUGAUGCAGCAAUGCCGAGUGUGUGAAGAAGGCCUUCUGGUUGUAAAGCACUUUCAGCGAGGAGUCGUUACUCGCAGAAGAAGCACCGGCUAACUACGUAACAGCAGCCGCGGUAAUUC